UACGAAGGUCCCAAGCGUUAUCCGGAUUUAUUGGGCUUAAAGGGUGCGUAGGCGGGCUGUUAAGUCAGUGGUGAAAGCUCCAUGCCUAACAUGGAAAUUGCCAUUGAUACUGACGGUCUUGAGUACAUUUGAAGUGGGCGGAAUGUGUCAUGUAGCGGUGAAAUGCUUAGAUAUGACAUAGAACACCAAUUGCGAAGGCAGCUCGCUACGCCGUUAUUGACACUGAGGCACGAAAGCGUGGGGAUCAAACAGG
rnacentral:rRNA from 1 species